GAAGAGCCUUACACCGAAGGAGUAGCGACCCACGAUGACCGUGAGCCGUGCGUCGACGACCCGCAAGGACGUGGCGAAGCGUCGGAUAGGGGUACGUGCAGGCCAGCCAUUGAGCCGCGAAAUCAAGUUCCUCGGGGUGCCGACGCUGUCGGAACAAGCGGAAGGCCACAUCUCUGAUGGUGCUAUCGUGAGCCGUCAGGGGACCCCGCGCGGUCAGAGACCC
rfam:Ferrimicrobium acidiphilum DSM 19497 strain T23 FEAC_contig000051, whole genome shotgun sequence.